AAGUCGUAACAAGGUCUCCGUAGGUGAACCUGCGGAGGGAUCAUUAACACGUUUACCCAUAACGUUUUCCACACCAAUCCGUGAACUUCUUAACAAUAUUACCCCGACCUGGACAGAGAGAGAAUCCUGUCUUGAAGCGUGCUCAGUGUAAUGGGUAUCCACUUCUUUUAUUAGGAGUUGGGUACAGGGCGCAUUUCAAGCGAGAAAGCUUCGAGCUUUCAAGGCCUCUCUCUGUUUGGGCUAAUCUUUACCAUUACUCUCCCUCCAUUUCACUGGGAGUAAUGGCAACAAACCACUUUCACCCCUUUAUAACCACUUGACUGAUCAAUCUUUCUUUUGUUUUAAGUUGCCCCGCAAGGGAUGACUUGAAUGACUGAAAGUCCUUAAUCAAAAUAUCUAAAGCACAACUCUUAGCAACGGAUAUCUUGGUUCUC
rnacentral:misc_RNA from 1 species